rnacentral:misc_RNA from 1 species
UCCUCCUUACAGAGGCGGUUUUGUCCGAGUUCCCGACAUUACUCGCUGGCAACAGACAAUGAGGGUUGCGCUCGUUGCGGGACUUAACCCAACAUCUCACGACACGAGCUGACGACAGCCAUGCACCACCUGUGCUACACCCUCGAAGGCGACUGCUUUUCGGCAGCUUGCAGUAGCAUGUCAAGCCCUGGUAAGGUUCUUCGCGUUGCAUCGAAUUAAGCCACAUGCUCCACCGCUUGUGCGGGCCCCCGCCAAUUCCUUUGAGUUUCAACCUUGCGGCCGUAGUCCCCAGGCGGUUCACUUAAUGCGUUAGCUGCGGCACCGAGGGUUACCCCCCGACACCUAGUGAACAUCGUUUAGGGCCGAGACUAC